CCCAGCGCCAAGCUCUGUGUCGCCGCCGUCGCCUAGGCGGUUGGGGGUCGGUGGGGCGGCGCGGGCGGGGGUCGCUGCGCGGGGCGGCGAGCCUCUGUUUUGUCUCCUUCUCUCCCUGUGGAGCGGCUCGGGCUGCUGGGGAGGCCCCGGCUCCCUCCGGACGCUCGGCCAACGGCGGCGGCUAGUCCGCGGCCCUGCUGAGAGGGAAAAGGACGCCGCGGUCUUCCCAGGCGUCGCGGAGAGCAGUUCCAAAGAACUACUGGUUCAGAUUUUAGCUCUUCCCAAGUUGUGAAAAUAGUGAAGGAUGCUUAGACUACUUAACAUACAAACUGCUUUCUGGUUAAUCAUCUUUAGAAGACUGGAUUUCUGGAUAUCUACUCCACUCCAUCUCUAUUGACUUUUAAAACAUGAUAAUGCAAACCUAUAACACUGGCAACCAUCAGUGAACCUUUAAUUUCAUUGAUUAAUAGCGUUUGAAGCUUCCUCAGGGAAUAACAAUGACAUCAGCAGUGGUUGACAGUGGAGGUACUAUUUUGGAGCUUUCCAGCAAUGGAGUAGAAAAUCAAGAGGAAAGUGAAAAGGUUUCUGAAUAUCCAGCAGUGAUUGUGGAGCCAGUUCCAAGUGCCAGAUUAGAGCAGGGCUAUGCAGCCCAGGUUCUGGUUUAUGAUGAUGAGACUUAUAUGAUGCAAGAUGUGGCAGAAGAACAAGAAGUUGAGACCGAGAAUGUGGAA
rnacentral:lncRNA from 1 species